ensembl:lncRNA
GGGAGAGGAAAGAGAAAAAGGAAUGUGGAGGGAGAGAAAGAAAGAGAGAGGGAGAGGAAAGAGAAAAAGGAAGAUGGAGGGAGAGAAAGAAAGAGAGAGGGAGAGGAAAGAGAAAAAGGAAGGUGGAGGGAGCGAAAGAAAGAGAGAGGGAGAGGAAAGAGAAAAAGGAAUGUGGAGGGAGAGAAAGAAAGAGAGAGGGAGAGGAAAGAGAAAAAGGAAGGUGGAGGGAGCGAAAGAAAGAGAGAGGGAGAGGAAAGAGAAAAAGGAAGGUGGAGGGAGCGAAAGAAAGAGAGGGAGAGGAAAGAGAAAAAGGUAGGAGUGAGAAACAGAGUGAAGUUUAUCAAAAGCAUGUCCAUUUCUCAUUUAGCACAUUUUCUACGCUUAUCUCCAGGCCCACUCUCCCAUCCCACUACUGCUGCAGCUCUCCCGCCUCGCGCACUGCCAUGCAGAGGUGGGCAAAAUCAAUUUUUGCAGAUACAUUCUUGCAAUUACAUCACUUACUCUGUUUAAGAUAAGAUGCAUGAAUUGGACUACUCUUGAAGCACCAGAUUGAAUUAUUCAUUUGGUUUACUCAACUCUGUCUCUCUCUUCCCCCUUCUCUCUCUCCUCCUCUCUUUCUCUCUCUCCCUCCCCCACCUCUCUGUCUCUCUUGGUCCCGGGUCCCAUGGUCCCAGGGGAUGAAAUAUGAGUGUGUUUAGCACUCUUCAAUAGAGAGCACAGGACAUGGGAGGGGUCACUGGGCCUCUAAUGCUACCCAAUAAAUAUCUGCUGCUCCUAGCCUCGUCUGUGUUGGGAGAGGGGGGAAUAAGCUCUCUCUGUCUUUCUAUCUCUCUCUCUGAGUGUAUGGCUUCAUUAGUGUAUACAGGGGGAGAAGACGAGAAAUGAAAGUAGAUA